CCGGAAGUGGGGCUGCCUAUACAUGCAGUCGAACGAGCUUCCGUUGAAUGACGUGCUUGCACUGAUUUCAACAAUGAAGCGAGUGGCGAACUGGUGAGUAACACGUGGGAAAUCUGCCCAGAAGCAGGGGAUAACACUUGGAAACAGGUGCUAAUACCGUAUAACAACAAAAUCCGCAUGGAUUUUGUUUGAAAGGUGGCUUCGGCUAUCACUUCUGGAUGAUCCCGCGGCGUAUUAGUUAGUUGGUGAGGUAAAGGCCCACCAAGACGAUGAUACGUAGCCGACCUGAGAGGGUAAUCGGCCACAUUGGGACUGAGACACGGCCCAAACUCCUACGGGAGGCAGCAGUAGGGAAUCUUCCACAAUGGACGAAAGUCUGAUGGAGCAAUGCCGCGUGAGUGAAGAAGGGUUUCGGCUCGUAAAACUCUGUUGUUAAAGAAGAACACCUUUGAGAGUAACUGUUCAAGGGUUGACGGUAUUUAACCAGAAAGCCACGGCUAACUACGUGCCAGCAGCCGCGGUAAUACGUAGGUGGCAAGCGUUGUCCGGAUUUAUUGGGCGUAAAGCGAGCGCAGGCGGUUUUUUAAGUCUGAUGUGAAAGCCUUCGGCUUAACCGGAGAAGUGCAUCGGAAACUGGGAGACUUGAGUGCAGAAGAGGACAGUGGAACUCCAUGUGUAGCGGUGGAAUGCGUAGAUAUAUGGAAGAACACCAGUGGCGAAGGCGGCUGUCUAGUCUGUAACUGACGCUGAGGCUCGAAAGCAUGGGUAGCGAACAGGAUUAGAUACCCUGGUAGUCCAUGCCGUAAACGAUGAGUGCUAAGUGUUGGAGGGUUUCCGCCCUUCAGUGCUGCAGCUAACGCAUUAAGCACUCCGCCUGGGGAGUACGACCGCAAGGUUGAAACUCAAAGGAAUUGACGGGGGCCCGCACAAGCGGUGGAGCAUGUGGUUUAAUUCGAAGCUACGCGAAGAACCUUACCAGGUCUUGACAUCUUCUGCCAAUCUUAGAGAUAGACGUUCCCUUCGGGGACAGAAUGACAGUGUGCAUGCUGUCGUCAGCUCGUGUCGUGAGAUGUUGGGUUAAGUCCCGCACGAGCGCAACCCUUAUUUAUCAG
rnacentral:rRNA from 1 species